CUGAACGCUAUGGUCACACCCCUCCAAGCAGUUGAGGAAGUCCUGUUUAUCUUGUAUUUUCCUGGUGUUCAUUGGAAAAGAGCUUGUUGGUAGCCUACCUCAUAGCUAGGUUAACGAUGUUCAUUUUACAGUCUACUGAACAAGGAGCCAAAAUGGGUGUGAAUCUCUACACAACAACAACAAGCCCUGAGUUGCACUGAUUGCAAGAGAAGAAUAAAACGCUAACACAUUCUAGACCUCAUUAAAAAGAGAGAAUGGUGUUUAAUCCAUCAUGAUGGAGGCACAGAGUUGAUCUUACAGAACCACGGUGUCCAGUAGAACUGUCCGGCCCAUGGGGUGAUGAAGAGGUGGAGGAAGGCCUGCAGACAGGGCCGAAGGCUUUUAAACAGGAGCGGUGGUCUGUUGGCACAGUGAGACCAUUAUAGCAGCAAUAUCAGCAAUAAAUGGAUACGCAAAAUUCUGAUACGAGCCAUAGCAAACACACUCUUAUUACUUCCCACUGCCAAUAACCAUUCAGACACUCUCUCACGUUAUAUAACAGAGGAGGGCGCAGGGCUUCAGUCGGAGGGAGAGGCUGCAGAACGUGCUUUAUCGGGCUGGUUUGAGCGGAGAGAGCCCAGCCGGCCGGGGUAAUUAAGAGACGGAGUGAAACUUCUCCUGUGGGACUGACGAACGCACGGUAAUUACCGCUGAUGGCUUCAGUGUCCCAGCCCGGGCAGAGACUCGGAGCGAAGAGGCAGCUCCGGCCAAAACGCUUCUGCCGUUUCUCCACCUUAGCAUUCCCACGGCAUUCUGCUGGCGGAGGGAAAACCGGAGCCGGCGCUAUCGGAGGGGAAAGGCCAAACGAGCACAAGCUGGCACAGUCAUUCAUACGAAGACAGAUGGUUCUCUGAGACAAUAUUCAACGCCAAAUGACCGUAACUUGCUUGAUAUUUGUAUCACCUUCAUCUUCAUCAUCACCUUGUAUCAUCUAUUCUGAAAUACUAAAAUGUUUCGUGGAUUCUCAGGAAAAUUUGGUGUUAGCACAGAAUUGACGUUUUCCAUGUUACCUCAGCGCCCAUGCGUAUUCUGUGAUUAUUUAACAUUCUAGUGACUUCAACAUUGACAAUACAUGAAAAUAUAAGUUCAUUCGACAAAUUCCACCCAUGUAUCAUAAGCUCAGCAUCAUCCAGUUGAACCCUGGAAAUAUGGGAAGCUGAAACAAGCCUUCUUUUAGAGACUGGGUUUCUGUUCCCUGACUAAUGAACACACACACCACACACACACUCAUACGCACGCCACACACAACACACACACACACACACACAACACACACCCCACAUACACACACAACACAAACACCACAAACACACACACACCACAACAAACACACACCACAACACACACACCACACACACACCCACACAAACCACACACAGACACACACCACACACACACACAAAGGAGACUAAGAAACAUGAUCAGAUCUGAGCUUGUUCGCAGGUACUUGCCAAGCUGAGGAGUUCUCUUUUCUCACGUCGAGGGAAGUAAAAGAAAAGACAAAGCUUGAUUCAGUUCCAUCACCACAGAGAUCAUUUUAACUUAAAGAGGUAAAUUGUCUCAUUAACCUCCAAAGCUUCAAACUCAAAGUGCGAUAAAGGCUUGCAUAAAACUAAAUUAGCAGUGUUGGUGAGUAUUCAUCAGCAAUAAAGUCUCAGAUUUGGGCUGUUUUCAUGCUGUGUAAAUUAUCUUAGUUGACAAAAAAAGUUUUUUGAACACACCGAGAAUGGCGGAGUUUAAAUGCAUGCUGAAACUUUCUGUGUGACAGAGAAUAAAAAAUAAUGUGGCAAAGAAAAACAACCAAGAAGGAGAAUUACCUCCAAAUUGGUCCUGCUUCUCGGGGUUGCCCGUUAGGGUGGUGAGCAGAGCUGGUAGGAAUGGAUGUAGAUCAUCUCCCUAAUGGCAGUUUUAAGUAAA